GGUAGCUACAGUCCUGGAUCAAGUCAAGGAAACGCUCUCUCACGACAAUAGUUCAGAUCACGGGCCGAAGACCCCAGCUACUGCUUCUUCAAUCCUUAUAGAAUUGCACCGAAGCUGUAAAGGAUUCGCGUGUGCUGGAUUUUGGAGGAGCAACGAUUAGCAUUCAUUAGUGAAUAAUGGCGAUUUUGUAAUUUAAAUGUGCUUCGAAUUUAUGUUAUUUGUUUUUGUUAAA